rnacentral:rRNA from 1 species
ACGGGGGACUGCUGACUAUAACCAUUUCUCAAAACAGAGGAAGGUUGCGGCAAUAACAGGUCUGUGAUGCCCUCAGAUGUCCCGGGCUGCACACGUGCUACAAUGAGUGGCGCAAUGUGCUAAUGUUUAAGGGAUAAGAGUGUGGUCAGUAGAACGUCGGGAUUUCCCCUGACGUCUCCCCCGCACGAUUAUCAGCCUUCCCUUAACAGGGCGGGCAACCUUUUCAAAAUACUGGUUUGAUGUUAAAGUAUUGAGUCGUUUUUUUUGGAUGGUGGUUUGUUAACCAAUACCAUCCGGCAACUGCUCGCGAGUUUGUGGUUCUGGCGACUCAUGGUGGGGACCGACGUUUGUAAUUUUUUGUCGCGUGUUAACUAGGAAUGCCUUGUACUGUCGAUUCACUAAGUU